rnacentral:rRNA from 1 species
UGGGGAAUUUUCCGCAAUGGGCAAAAGCCUGACGGAGCAAUGCCGCGUGGAGGUGGAAGGCCUACGGGUCGUCAACUUCUUUUCUCGGAGAAGAAACAAUGACGGUAUCUGAGGAAUAAGCAUCGGCUAACUCUGUGUCAG